ACGAACGCUGGCGGCGUGCUUAACACAUGCAAGUCGAGCGAGAAAGCACCUUCGGGUGUGAGUACAGCGGCGAACGGGUGAGUAACACGUGGGUAACCUGCCCUGAAGACCGGGACAACCAUUCGAAAGGAUGGCUAAUACCGGAUAUACUGCGUAGUCGCAUGGCUGCGUAGAAAAUGGUAGCUUCGGCUUCUGCUUCAGGAUGGACCCGCGGCCCAUUAGCUUGUUGGUAGGGUAAUGGCCUACCAAGGCAACGAUGGGUAGCCGGCCUGAGAGGGUGAACGGCCACACUGGAACUGAGACACGGUCCAGACUCCUACGGGAGGCAGCAGUGGGGAAUCUUGCGCAAUGGGCGAAAGCCUGACGCAGCAACGCCGCGUGGGGGAUGAAGGCCUUCGGGUUGUAAACCUCUGUCGGGAGGGACGAAGCCACCUGGGUUAAUAGCCUAAGGGGUGACGGUACCUCCAAAGGAAGCCCCGGCUAACUACGUGCCAGCAGCCGCGGUAAUACGUAGGGGGCAAGCGUUGUCCGGAUUUAUUGGGCGUAAAGAGCGUGUAGGCGGCCUGUCAAGUCCGAUGUGAAAUGUCACGGCUUAACCGUGAACCUGCAUUGGAAACUGUCAGGCUAGAGUCUGGAUGAGGAGAAUAGAAUUCCUGGUGUAGCGGUGAAAUGCGCAGAUAUCAGGAGGAAUACCGGUGGCGAAGGCGGUUCUCUAGGACAGUACUGACGCUGAGACGCGAAAGCGUGGGGAGCAAACAGGAUUAGAUACCCUGGUAGUCCACGCCGUAAACGAUGGGCACUAGGUGUUGGGGGUGUUGACUCCCUCAGUGCCGUAGCUAACGCAUAA
rnacentral:rRNA from 1 species